GAGUUUGAUCCUGGCUCAGGAUAAACGCUGGCGGCGUGCAUGAGACAUGCAAGUCGAACGGACUUUCAAGCUUUGCUUGAAAGUUAGUGGCGGACGGCUGAGUAACGCGUAGGUGACCUGCCCCGAAGUGGGGAAUAACUGCCCGAAAGGGUGGCUAAUACCGCAUGCGAUCGGUCAUUCAUUUGAUCGAUCAAAGCAGUAAUGCGCUUUGGGAGGGGCCUGCGUCCGAUUAGCUCGUUGGUGGGGUAAUGGCUCACCAAGGCGACGAUCGGUAGGUGGUCUGAGAGGACGAUCACCCAGACUGGGACUGAGACACGGCCCAGACUCCUACGGGAGGCAGCAGUCGGGAAUUUUGCUCAAUGGACGAAAGUCUGAAGCAGCAACGCCGCGUGAGGGAUGAAGG
rnacentral:rRNA from 1 species